rnacentral:rRNA from 1 species
GACGAACGCUGGCGGCGUGCCUAAUACAUGCAAGUCGAGCGAAGUUUUUCUGGUGCUUGCACUAGAAAAACUUAGCGGCGAACGGGUGAGUAACACGUAAAGAACCUGCCUCAUAGACUGGGACAACUAUUGGAAACGAUAGCUAAUACCGGAUAACAGUAUUUCUCGCAUGAGAGAUAUUUAAAAGUUGGUUAUGCUAACACUAUGAGAUGGCUUUGCGGUGCAUUAGCUAGUUGGUGGGGUAAAGGCCCACCAAGGCGACGAUGCAUAGCCGACCUGAGAGGGUGAUCGGCCACCCUGGGACUGAGACACGGCCCAGACUCCUACGGGAGGCAGCAGUAGGGAAUCUUCCGCAAUGGGCGAAAGCCUGACGGGGCAACGCCGCGUGAGUGAAGAAGGAUUUCGGUUCGUAAAGCUCUGUUGUUAGGGAAGAAUGGAUAUGUAGUAACUAUACAUGUAAGAGACGGUACCUAACCAGAAAGCCACGGCUAACUACGUG